rfam:Schistosoma mansoni strain Puerto Rico chromosome 2, complete genome
GCACUGAUGAGGAGCCCCAUAAUAGGACGAAACGGCCGUCCAGUGC